rnacentral:lncRNA from 1 species
AGAAAGUGACUGACCACCUGGAAGCCCUCAUUGAUCCAUUUGACCUGGACGUUUUCACGCCACACCUCAACAGCAACCUUCAUCGCCUGGUGCAGCGAACUUCUGUUCUGUUUGGAUUGGUGACUGGUACAGAGAAUCAGCUCGCCCCCCGGAGCAGUACGUUCAACUCCCAAGAACCCCAUAACAUCCUGCCACUGGCAUCCAGUCAGAUCAGGUUUGGACUUCUCCCACUGAGCAUGACAAGCACUCGAAAGGCUAAAUCAACCAGAAACAUCGAAACAAAAGCUCAGUACGAUGCCAACUGUUAAGCCUGCAGGAAUCCUCCUGGGUAUUUCUGAAUUGUGCUGUGUGCAUGUGUGUUUGAAAGCUCAAACAGCUUGUCUUCUUACAGCAUCGAGUUGUUUGCUUUAUUGUUAGACACAAUAUUAGCAGUGUAUCCUUUCCGUAUUCCCUACCAUCGAACCCAUUAAGAUCUAAAAUCCUUGUCAAGUAUCUGGCUUUAAAAGUUGGGAGAUGGUAG